GGGAUGCAUCAGUGGCAGUCAAGGUGAGCACUGCCCAUCUCUACCUCCGUCCAGGGGUGGGAGAAAGCUCUGUGUCAUUUCCAGAUACGCUGCUGUACCUCACUGUGCAGGAUGACACCAGCACCCAGCAGCUCCCAUUCCUGUGAGAGGUGUCCCUUCCUGAACCCCCAGCUCAGUGUAUCCAUGUGAUGGUGGCACUGCUAUGGGACAGCAUAUGGCACCCAGGGGAGCUGCACUGCAUCUGGACUUGGCGGAGCACGGCGAUCCCGGCCAUACAUCAUCAGGAGGAACGUGUGCUUGGAGCUGCUAACACCGACUGCAUGAAAAACACAACCGAAGGGGAAAGAUGAGCACAAGGUGAGCAAAAGCUGAGCACGCCUGGGCAGCAGUGGUGAAAGCAACAUCAGUGGGAGAUGAUGCCAACGGCCACCUCGACACAUCUGGGCACAACGUGUUUAGAGGGGCUGCAGGCAGCCUGGCUGAGCAGAGCCGGCUCCACGGCCGCGGGAUGUGCGGUGCUGCGAGGGAUCUCAACCAUCAAUAAA